GACCAGACUCCUACGGGAGGCAGCAGUGGGGAAUAUUGCACAAUGGGGGAAACCCUGAUGCAGCGACGCCGCGUGAGUGAAGAAGUAUUUCGGUAUGUAAAGCUCUAUCAGCAGGGAAGAAAAUGACGGUACCUGACUAAGAAGCCCCGGCUAACUACGUGCCAGCAGCCGCGGUAAUACGUAGGGGGCAAGCGUUAUCCGGAUUUACUGGGUGUAAAGGGAGCGUAGACGGCAUGGCAAGUCAGAUGUGAAAGCCCGGGGCCCAACCCCGGGACUGCUCUUGGAACUGCGUGGCUGGAGUGCAGGAGGGGCAGGCGGAAUUCCUGGUGUAGCGGUGAAAUGCGUAGAUAUUAGGAGGAACACCAGUGGCGAAGGCGGCCUGCUGGACUGCAACUGACGUUGAGGCUCGAAGGCGUGGGGAGCAAACAGGAUUAGAUACCCCUGUAC
rnacentral:rRNA from 1 species